UUCUAGCCCAGAUAGCAAUGAAAAUCCUUGCCUUUUGAAAAGGUGUUUUUCUUCAAAAAAAAGAGCGCCUGAAAGAAGCUCCUUUAUUUUGAUUUAGAAAAACCCUUUUUAAAAGGCAAGAUUGCAAUAAAUAGCUGGGAAUAGC
rnacentral:sRNA from 1 species